ACUAUACCCUUAACAGUUUUGACAAAGUUUCCAGUGAGUCUGCUUUGUUGCUUUAAUGCAUAUCCUCAAACAAGUAUUUGGUAUAUGGGUGAUACUAAGCAGAGUUCAGGGUUACCAUAGAAAAGUUUACUGCAUGCGAUUUGUAUCACCACCACACAAUUGCUCAGUGGUAAGAGUUGUUUUCCUCCAGCAAAAAGACCAGUGCAUCAAAUCCAAGUUAUGCCUGAUUCCUAAAUAUACACAAAACCUGGAAUUGCUUCAUCCAUAUGAUGUCAGGUGAUUCCUAACCUGGUAAAUUUUUGCAGUUGUUUUGGUGGAGGAACUAUCACUAUGGUCACUAUAUAAUUAUUUACCCAGUUUGGAAACCUGGCUGAAAACCAUUGUCAUGUUAUCCACAUAUGGAUGUAGCAACACACAACAGGAAGCAUGUACUCUUUAAAAUCUCAAUCCAUCCAAAAGGCGCACAAAGUGCAGUUUACCAGAAUGUCAUGACAUUUCUACAGAAUGUCAUAUGACCCCUGAAGAUAGCUGAAGGCCUCCACAGACAUUUUUUCAAUGGCUGCUGGUGUCCUGUCCUACAUUACCCAUGAUGG